rnacentral:rRNA from 1 species
GAAUCCUGAAUUCGAACGGGGUUGGAUUCAAGGCCUACCAGUCGUAAGCAGUUUGUGCCCAACGAGUUGAUCCCAGGCGCCCGCAGUGAGGACUUUGGCCGGCGGUGUCGUAACUGGUGAUCACUUGGACAGGUGCUCAUCUGGCGAUGGGGGUGUGCACUUCCUCCCUAGUAGAAUGGUCGCGACCCGUUGGGUGCCGGUCUAAGGCCCGGGAUGGCAGACCAUGUGUCCUGUGUGGGAUCCAUAGGCAUGUGGACUCCUGGUGACCCGGCUGGUGCCCGACGGAAUGAUCAGUGGGGUCGAUCCGCUAAGUGAAAAACACGUGGUGUGUGAAGCGUCCGGCACAGUGCCAAUGCGGGCAGGGUUAAGGUGAAACCGGGGUACCGUUGCGAUGCAUGGCCCGGCCCUGUUCGUUGUUGGUUGCUGUUGUCCUCGGACGGGAUCAGUACCCCUGUCUGCGGCAUCUAUUUCGGAUGGUCUCCCG